CUGUGACUCGUUUGGCCAAUCGGAUGAGGCGGAAGAGAUGGAACGCCGUCCCCGAGCCUAGGCCAGAAGCAGCCUGGGACCUUCCCACCGGCUCUGCUGUGCCUCUGCCGCUGCCCUGGGUGGGCUCCCGGUCCCGGCAGGGGAUAGAAGACAGAGCGGCCCCAGCUCAACUCAGCUUGGAGCAGAGCCACUGAGUCCAUCUGCAGACCCAGGCGGGCGCCCAGCCACGAUCAGCUGAGCCCCCACUGACCCACAGACUUGUGAGCAAUAAAAAGAAAUAAUUGUUGUAACACUUGGGAGGUCGUCUGUUAGGCGGAGCAGCGGAUACACCCUUUCCCCUUCAACUUCCCCAACCUCCCUCCUCCUCCUUUGUAGCAAACGACAUUAAGUGACUUCUGGUUACGUCUGUCCUACAAAGCCGAGCAGGAAAGACUUCUGCAAGCAGAUCACGGGAAGCCGCGGUUCCCUGCCGACAGCCCCACUGUCCUCACUGGAAACAGGACGUGACAUCAUAGCUCACAGCCCAGGCAGAGCACUGACCACCGCGGAAAGUUCAACGAGGCUGUCCGCAGCCUGGAAAUGCAGGCACCGAUGCAGCGAUCUGUCUGUCUGUCUGUCUACUUGGAAUUCAAGUCACUAUGAGAAAGGUGGGUGGGGUGUGUUGGCGAAGCCAUGGACGUGCCAGUGUCACUCGGCCAGGGUGAAGCGGGCAGAGCCUGAAAGGUCAGAGGACCCAGUCAUCACCCCUAGUCACAGGCCAUGUGACCACUGGGCACAUCCCAGGGAGCCUCGGUGACGACCUCAGUGUCUUCAUCUAUAGCCCAGGGUCAGUGCAACCUGUCUACCGGGUGCAGGAGAACCAACGGGGUGACAGACGCUACCUGGAAGGGCUUUAGAAACGUUACGCUGUAUUCUGCCACGUGCUGCCACAUGGAUGGACCCUGAGGACAUAAUGCUCAGUGACAGAAGCCAGACACACAAGGACAAAUGCUGCACAGUCCCACCUACGUGAGGUCCCUAGAUGGGGCAGGGCCACAGAGACAGGAAGUGGUGCCAGGGGCUGCGGGAGGGGAAGUGGGGCCUCAGUGAUUCAGGGGGGCAGUCUCUGGUUAAGAAGACGAAGGUGUUCUGGAAAUAGUCCUGACAGUUGCACAACAACGGGAACUUACUUACCACUGAACUGGACACUUAAAAAUGGUUACAAAGGUCAAUUUUAUGUUAUGUAUCUUUUACCACAAUAAAACAUUUUUUUAACGUGUAACUAUUAUAAAAUAGCAAAGUGAUGUUACAAUCCUUCGCCUGUAGCCCAAUAAGAAAGCUGCUUUCUGUGAACGUCCUGGCUCCCACUUCUAACCCGGAACUCAACCCCCACUCGGGCAGCGAGGUCUCUGCCCACAGAGCUCACAUCUCAUCUCUCUGUCCCUUGCUGUUGGCGCGUCCUGCCUCCACCACGGCUGGCUCAUCCCGAAGACGCACUGGUUUCUGCUCCUAUCGCAGAACACGGCUCCUGAGGGGAGACGCCCGUCUGCCUGCCCCUCAUCCCUGGGUCCAGGCAGCCCUUCCAGAAAAGACACCACGGCCCUGGCCAACCCCUCCUAGCGUUCCACAGUGACUCCUUGGAAAGUCCCUUCUGACAAAGCAAACAAACCAGUCCCCCUGGGCCUACAGCUGGCACAGACCAGGGAGAGGGACUGCCAGCCUCUGGGGCUGCCCACAGAAAUACCAUGCGAGCCUCAUGUACCACAGUACAUUUUCCAGUAGCCACAUUUUUAAAAAAUUAGAA